rnacentral:rRNA from 1 species
AUUGAACGCUGGCGGCAUGCUUUACACAUGCAAGUCGAACGGCAGCACGGGUGCUUGCACCUGGUGGCGAGUGGCGAACGGGUGAGUAAUACAUCGGAACGUACCUUAUCGUGGGGGAUAACGCAGCGAAAGUUGCGCUAAUACCGCAUACGCCCUGAGGGGGAAAGCGGGGGACCGUAAGGCCUCGCGCGUUUAGAGCGGACGAUGUCUGAUUAGCUUGUUGGGGAGGUAAAAGCUCACCAAGGCGAUGAUCAGUAGCUGGUCUGAGAGGACGAUCAGCCACACUGGGACUGAGACACGGCCCAGACUCCUACGGGAGGCAGCAGUGGGGAAUUUUGGACAAUGGGGGCAACCCUGAUCCAGCAAUGCCGCGUGAGUGAAGAAGGCCUUCGGGUUGUAAAGCUCUUUUGUCAGGGAAGAAACAGCAGCUCUAACACAGUCUGCGAAUGACGGUACCUGAAGAAUAAGCACCGGCUAACUACGUGCCAGCCGCCGCAGUAA